CCCUUAGAUGUUCUGGGCCGCACGCGUGCUACACUGAUGCAUUCAACGAGUCUAAAACCUGGUCUGAUAGGGCUGGGUAAUCUUUUGAAAGUGCAUCGUGAUUGGGAUAGAUGAUUGCAAUUCUUCAUCUUCAACGAGGAAUGCCUAGUAAACGCAAGUCAUCAGCCUGCAUUGAUUACGUCCCUGCCCUUUGUACACACCGCCCGUCGCUCCUACCGAUUGAAUGAUCCGAUGAAUACCAUGGAUUGAGAGUACGAAUAGGUUCGCUUAUUUCUGCUGCUCGAGAAGUGGAGUAAAUCUUAUCAUUUAGAGGAAGGAGAAGUCGUAACA
rnacentral:rRNA from 1 species